GAUGAAGAACGUAGCGAAAUGCGAUAAGUAGUGUGAAUUGCAGAAUUCAGUGAAUCAUCGAAUCUUUGAACGCACAUUGCGCCCCUUGGUAUUCCAUGGGGCAUGCCUGUUCGAGCGUCAUUUGUACCUUCAAGCUUUGCUUGGUGUUGGGUGUUUGUCUCGCCUUUGCGUGUAGACUCGCCUUAAAAUAAUUGGCAGCCGGCGUAUUGAUUUCGGAGCGCAGUGCAUCUCGCGCUUUGCACUCAUAACGACAGCGUCCAAAAGUACAUUUUACACUCUUGACCUCGGAUCAGGUAGGGAUACCCGCUGAACUUAAGCAUAUCAAUAAGCGGAGGA
rnacentral:misc_RNA from 1 species